AAGCCCGGAGGCGAAGGAGAUGAGCUCGGGCUCUGAUCAGAGAGACAGAGCCUUUAAAAAUCCCCCACAGCCAGCUCAUAUACAGAGAUUAGUCAGCUUAUAGGGUGAAACCCCUUUCAGUACAAGUGAGUAAACGCUGGAGUCAGACAGGAAGCUUGUGUGGCACAAACGCGUUUCUCAAAGUUUCUGUCUGACAGCGAGGGCGGAUAUUAACCAGCCUAAUGCUGGUUCCAUGCAGGUCGGCUAGCACGGUGUGUUUGCAUUAAGCAGUCCCUUUGCAGCCAAAUAGUCUAGUUAAGUGUUAAACAUUUCGCUGCAAGAUUUUAGCUUUAGUAGCUGCUCAGUUAGCGCCGCUGGCUUUCGGACAGAUUGUGGUUCCACUGAGGAGCCGUCGAGGGAGCAACAGCAGCCGGAUAGCGCCACUGGUGACCUGGGGAAAGCCAGCGGUUCCUCCGGCUAUGAGGGAACACCGGCCCCUGGCGACUGGAGCGGCCAUUUAGUGUUGGAGACAACAGGGCCCUGUACUACGAAGCGGGUUUUCUGGCUUACCAGGGUAACUUCGAGAGUAACUUGAUCACGUGCAGCGUAACUUCCCGAUUAACCCAUACUACGAAAGUUGGCUAUGUUCAAACCGAGCAGGGUGCCAGGGAACAACAGGAGGCCCCCAGUCCAUCCCACCCGAGCAGGAAGAGGACCCCCAGCCGAGCGGAUCCAGCGUCACUGUCACCUGCCCCCCUUCUCCACCGCCUGCCCCUGUCGCCGGGUCCACAGGCCGGGUGCUGACGCGCGCGGUCCUUGAGUCGCAGGGGGAAAUUUUAAAGGGGAUAGAGGCGAUUAACGACAACCUCGAGGGAAUCCGCGAGGAAUUGAAGGAACUGAAUAACACAUUAAAAGAAUAUCUUAAAAAAUGAAUGGUGUCCCGUCUGUCCUUACCUUUUCACAUUGUGGCUAUUAAGCGCUGCCGGGUUUGUGUGCCAUGUCGCUGUGGCACCUCGUUGUGAGGCCCAGGGUCUGGGUCCUCCGCCAGGUCUCGCUCCAUUAUUGGCACGCCGUGCUGCUGUGCCACAUUGUGUAACACGCCACACACCGCGGUUGUGUCUGAUUUGUACGCACUUGGAAAUCGUUUCAUAUAUUGAUCUUGGUAAUUAUGUGAGAAGGCUACCCCACGCAACAUCAACUAAUAAUAUUUCAGUCUGACACCUCGCGGCAAAUGCACGAGGAAGAUCUAUUAAGCUAGCUGCAAUGCAUGGUCCUGCAUGUGCAUUCUUUAAUUUAAUUAAUUAACCAAUAGGUAGUCAAUGGGAAUAAUAUCGAAUUGAUAUUGCUGGGGUUUCUCAUUUCCCGUAAUUACAAUAUGGAAGGGGUGGUUGAUGGAUCUGUUGGCAUUUACCCAACAGUCUUACAUUAUGUGUCUCGACAAUGUCGUAUGACUGACAUACAUUUCAAUUCACGCAUCCUGAUGUUCCGAUGCAUUUUUGGAUGCCUCUUAUCGCCAUGUCAUGACUCUUGACCGAGUAGGCCGAAAUGUAGUUGCGUUGCUCUGCCUCUAAGUGUCGCCAAGUACCAAGAUGCACCAGAAAUGUGCGUACGCCAGCCAUGAGGUUUGCGUAGAGUACCGCACUUUUCCACGCCAAGUCAAUCUUUGUACAUACGAAUGUUUGCGGAGAAAGUGACGUACGUAGCUUUUUUGUGCGUACGCAAGCUUUGUACAUGAGGCCCCAGGCCUGCAGUGUUCUGUUUGUUUUCCUGAAACUGCUGACUUUUGUGUUUUCCAUCGUCUCUGUGGUGCACUUUAAGUUAUUGUGAGUAAAUGUGACCACAAGUGUAACUAAUUUUCAUUAACAGUGAGAGCUGUAGAGCAGCUGUAUUGGUUUUGAGUGUAACAGAGGUGUAGAGCUCGAGAACACCUUUAGUCUUAAACUGUGUGUGUAAUAUAUAUAUGUAUGUAUAGAAAUAAAAAUUGUUGUUGGUUUUGAAAGAAAAGUAGGGACAAAUUUUCCGUUGCUUUAUUGACAAACUUUCUUGUUAAUAAAAUACUUUAUCAUGA